rnacentral:rRNA from 1 species
CCACGGGAGGCAGCAGUGGGGAAUCUUGCGCAAUGGGCGAAAGCCUGACGCAGCCAUGCCGCGUGAAUGAUGAAGGUCUUAGGAUUGUAAAAUUCUUUCACCGGGGACGAUAAUGACGGUACCCGGAGAAGAAGCCCCGGCUAACUUCGUGCCAGCAGCCGCGGUAAUACGAAGGGGGCUAGCGUUGCUCGGAAUUACUGGGCGUAAAGGGAGCGUAGGCGGAUAGUUUAGUCAGAGGUGAAAGCCCAGGGCUCAACCUUGGAAUUGCCUUUGAUACUGGCUAUCUUGAGUACGGAAGAGGUAUGUGGAACUCCGAGUGUAGAGGUGAAAUUCGUAGAUAUUCGGAAGAACACCAGUGGCGAAGGCGACAUACUGGUCCGUUAACUGACGCUGAGGCUCGAAAGCGUGGGGAGCAAACAGGAUUAGAUACCCUGGUAGUCCACGCUGUAAACGAUGAGUGNUAGUGUCGGUCGAUGCAUGCAUGUCGGUGACGCG